rnacentral:misc_RNA from 1 species
GAUGAAGAACGUAGCGAAAUGCGAUAAGUAAUGUGAAUUGCAGAAUUCAGUGAAUCAUCGAAUCUUUGAACGCACAUUGCGCCCGCUAGUAUUCUGGCGGGCAUGCCUGUUCGAGCGUCAUUUCAACCAUCAAGCCUCAGGCUUGUGUUGGAGCCCUGCGGCUGCCACAGCCUCCCAAAAACAGUGGCGGGCUCGCUAUCACACCGAGUGCAGUAGUUUACUCUUCGCUCAGGGCGUGUGGCGGGUGCUAGCCGUGAAACCCCCUACUUCUCAAGGUUGACCUCGGAUCAGGUAGGAAUACCCGCUGAACUUAAGCAUAUCAAUAAGCGGAGGA